CCCCGGCUGUGCAAUCAACGCCAGGUAACCUGCGGGGACCCGUAAUUGCUCUGGAGUUACCAGGGAGUUUGCGAGGCUGGCCUAAGAAAGUUUCCAUCUCAAACAGUGCAGUUCUCCAAUGCGAGCUCCAAACAGCUGAGGCCUGUUGUGAGUUGGUGCUGAUGGACCUAAAAUUGACAGAGUGAGCAGACCCGAGGAAAGUUGACUUCUGAGCCCAAUGGGGGAGGCCGGCCUGGCUGUGAGAAGAGACACAGGGUAUUGGAAUCUCUUCUGAGUCUCCCUCGGCCCCUCAGAAAGAGCAGGUCCUGUUUCUGGAGAGGAUGAAGAAAACACUGGGUGGAAACGGAUGUCCAGUUACCAAGAGCUGCACUUCCACACAAGCCCCUCGGAGGAAUCCCUGAUAGGAAUGAAAGUAAAUGGAGGAGAGCUCGAGAGUGUACCUACGGGUGCCAACCCGCGUGGAUCUGACAGGCACGGCGCAGCAGAGAGCGGGAAAGCAAGUUGCAGAAGAAUAGAGUUUCUGCUCUUAUAAAAAACUGCACUUGGCCUGGGAAGAUGGCUCAGGGGGGUAAAGGCACUUGCCUCCAGGCCUGAUGAUUUGAGUGCAGCCCUUGGAACCUCCGUGGUGCAAGGAGAGAACCGACUCCUGCAAGUUGUCAUCUGAACCCAACACACACAUACUGUGCAUAGUUACGUACACACCACAUGUACAUGCACACACAAGAUAAAUUUUAAGUCCUUGAGUAUUUCUAAAAAACCGUGCACCAUGAAAAAACACCCCACAGAGUAUUUACGGCUAAUACACGGGAAUAUAAACACCAAAUUCAAGAUCGUCAAAUUCAAAAAGAUGGGAAGAGUGAGCCAGAGGCAGGGCUGGGAGGGAGAGGGUGUGCAACACUUGGGCACUGGACUUAUUACAUAAUGGUUUAUUUCUCGGGCGAUGUGGUAGAUGUAAGGAUAUUUGUCAUAUUCCUCAACUUUUUGAAUGAUUGCCAUACUUGAUAAGAAAUAAAAUUA